AGUGGUGUGAGCCAUUAAGCUAACUUGUACUAAUUACCCGUGAGGCUUAACCAUACAACGCCAAACGCGUUU
rnacentral:rRNA from 4 species